GAUGAAGAACGUAGCGAAAUGCGAUACGUAAUGUGAAUUGCAGAAUUCAGUGAAUCAUCGAAUCUUUGAACGCAUAUUGCGCUCUCUGGUAUUCCGGAGAGCAUGCUUGUUUGAGUAUCAGUAAACACCUCAACUCCCUUUUCUUUUUUGAAAUUGGAGCUGGACUUGAGUGAUCCCAACGCUUUCUUCCAAGAAAGUGGCGGGUUGCUUGAAAUGCAAGUGCAGCUGAACUUUUCUCUGAGCUAUAAGCAUAUCUAUUUAGUCUGCCUAAAAAACAGAUUAUUACCUUUGCUGCAGCUAACAUAAAGGAGACUAGUUCUUGUGCUGACUGAUGCAGGAUUCACAGAGACAGCUUCGGCUGACUUUGUAAACUCGAUCUCAAAUCAAGUAAGACUACCCGCUGAACUUAAGCAUAUCAAUAAGCGGAGGA
rnacentral:misc_RNA from 1 species